rnacentral:rRNA from 1 species
UACGGAUGGUGCGAGCGUUAAUCGGAAUUACUGGGCGUAAAGCGCGCGUAGGCGGCUAAGUCAGUCAGAAGUGAAAGCCCCGGGCUCAACCUGGGAAUUGCUUUUGAUACUGCUUAGCUAGAGUUUGGUAGAGGAUAGUGGAAUUCCAGGUGUAGCGGUGAAAUGCGUAGAUAUCUGGAGGAACAUCAGUGGCGAAGGCGACUGUCUGGACCAAAACUGACGCUGAGGUGCGAAAGCGUGGGUAGCAAACAGG